rnacentral:rRNA from 1 species
CAAUAGCGUAUAUUAAAGUUGUUGCGGUUAAAAAGCUCGUAGUUGGAUUUCUGCUGAGAACGACCGGUCCGCCCUCUGGGUGUGUAUCUGGCUCUUUCUUGGCAUCUUCUUGGUGAACGUUGCUGCACUUGACUGUGUGGAGCGCUACCCAGGACUUUUACUUUGAGGAAAUUAGAGUGUUUCAAGCAGGCAUACGCCUUGAAUACAUUAGCAUGGAAUAAUAAGAUAGGACCUCGGUUCUAUUUUGUUGGUUUCUAGAGCUGAGGUAAUGAUUAAUAGGGAUAGUUGGGGGCAUUCGUAUUUAACUGUCAGAGGUGAAAUUCUUAGAUUCGUUGAGGACCAACCACUGCGAAAGCAUUUGUCAAGGAUGUCUNCAUUA